rnacentral:rRNA from 1 species
UGGCGGACGGGUGAGUAACACGUGAGCAACCUACCUUCGAGAGGGGAAUAACGGCUGGAAACGGUCGCUAAUACCGCAUAACAUACUGGAGGGACAUCCCUUUGGUAUCAAAGAUUUAUCGCUCGGAGAUGGGCUCGCGUCCGAUUAGGUAGUUGGUGAGGUAACGGCUCACCAAGCCGACGAUCGGUAGCCGGACUGAGAGGUCGAACGGCCACAUUGGGACUGAGACACGGCCCAGACUCCUACGGGAGGCAGCAG